rnacentral:rRNA from 5 species
UUACAACUUUCAACAACGGAUCUCUUGGUUCUGGCAUCGAUGAAGAACGCAGCGAAAUGCGAUAAGUAGUGUGAAUUGCAGAAUUCAGUGAAUCAUCGAAUCUUUGAACGCACAUUGCGCCCCUUGGUAUUCCAUGGGGCAUGCCUGUUCGAGCGUCAU